CGCGUAGGCGGCCGGGCAAGUCAGAGGUGAAAUCCCUCGGCUCAACUGAGGAACUGCCUCUGAAACUGCCUGGCUUGAGUCCCGGAGAGGGUAGCGGAAUUCCCAGUGUAGCGGUGAAAUGCGUAGAUACUGGGAGGAACACCAGUGGCGAAGGCGGCUACCUGGACGGGUACUGACGCUGAGGCGCGAAAGCGUGGGGAGCAAACA
rnacentral:rRNA from 1 species